UUUUUAAUUAGUGGGUUAAGGAAGGGUUAAACGGAGCUAAAUCUGCAUAGCACUUUACACCUUAGCUGGCCUUCUCUUCUAGAUCCUGCAAAAGGAACAAUGACCUUCAUUGCAUAGAGCUCUGCUAGGCUGCUUCACUGGGUCCUCAGACAGAUCAUCUGCAAACAAUGAGAAAGUCCAAGCACCUGUUUAAUGCUGAAUGGAAACAGCAGCAGAAAGAUACAGAAGCAAGUUGCCGAUGUCUGAUGGAAGGCUCCUUAGGAGGAGGGAAUGAGAACAUAACAGAGGUGGAAACCUGCCUAUAUACAAGGUAAUGCCUCUUCCAUGCUGAUGCAAGGGUCAAAACAGCUACAGAUGUGAAAACUUGGUUGUUGGAGCUCAGGGAUUUGGGGUACAUCCCAUUUGAUGGUAUACAGUGGAAGCUGAGUUCAUCUUGUCAUGCCAAAGGUUUCAGCCUGGGAAAGUUCACUACGGACUCAGUGAGACCAAGAAAUGACAAUGAAAUGUUCUUAGGGUGAAAGGGUUAUACCCAGCUUUAUUCUCAUGGCUGUAGGUCGAGCACUGGAAUCACGUCUGCAUCCAGCAGUCUACAGGUCUGUAAUCCACCUCCUCUCUGCCUCCGUGCAGAGCAGUAGGCCAAUUAUAUUAUCAGGUAGUUCAGAGUCAGGUGAGGAUCUUGGCCAUAGAAACUUCAAUUUUCCCCACAAUCUGCUAAAAAUAACAGGGGAGGGAGUUGGGAUUUUUAAAAAGUAAUGAGGUUUAAAAUAGGUUUUGUGGAGAAUAGGAGAGAAAGCUAAGAGGCUCUAAGAAGGAUGCAGUAUUGAGGGCCCAGCAAAAGUUAGAGACAGACACUCUACUUGAGGCACCUGUCAGCAAUGGACUGAAUUUCUUGAGCCACACUCAGGAUACCAGAUGUUUGUCAUCACUGUGUGAGGAAAAUGGAAAAGCCUGUGGCCAGGAUCCUCACCUGAACCUAAACUACUUGAUGUAACUGGCCUGCUGCUAGGCUACUGCUUCCACACCCGUAGGCAAUGAGCUAUUACUGACUGAGUCACUAUAUAAAGAGCUCUUCCCAGAGCUCUGAGCAGAAGCAGAGAUGGAGGAGGGUUACAGGCCUGCAGACUGUUGGACUCAGAUGUGAGUCUAGUGCCCCACCUACCGACCUACCUACCAUUGUGGGAAUAAAGCCAGGUAUAAACCCUUUUACCCUAAGAACUGUUCUAUUGUCAUUUCUAGGUCUCACUGAAUCCUUAGUGAACUUGCCUGGGGGUGAAACCCUCAGGCAAGACACACUGUGUCUACAAGACACAAUUUUUAAAGAGUUUAAAGGAAAUGAGAAUUCAUCAUCUUUUACUUGUGCUCUAUUGGUUUGGUGGUCUUCAGGUCUAAUAACCACCUUUUAGGAAUCUUUCAGUGAAAGAUCUGGGAACUUGCCUUGAUUAAUACCUUAUUUAAUCCUGUUUUCUUCCACCCUACCCCACAACAUCUUGACCUGUAAAUACUGGUCUUGUGUACUGAUACUCUUACCCCAGCCAGGUGGCUUUCAGCCAGAUUUGUUUGUGGGAUUUUCCUCGCAACAGCCACCAAACUCACGAUGUGGAGCAGCUUUCAUGGGACACUGUAGUCUCCUAGCCCAGUAGGAUCAAUCUCAGAGUGCUGGGUGUGUUUCCAGUAUCCUGAGCUUUGCCAGUCCCUAAAUCAAUCUCAUUUAUGCCUUUCUCUGGGUGAUGACUACUAGAAAGGUGAUUAUCAAUUGAAAAGUGACAAUAAUAUCCACAAUCCUCCUGGCUUGACAUCAACAAUCCUCAGGGAAAUGCAGAUUAAAACUACAAAGAGAUACCACUAUUUGCCUAUCAGAAUGGCUAAAACAAACAUUUAAAAUAUGGACUUAAAAUAUAAAUAUAGAUUGAGGUCAGUGAUAAGAAAGAUUAUUCACUUAUAGUUCCCAAGCAGGAAAUGCAAUUCAUAAAAUCUGCCAUAAUCCCAGACCUCAGAAACUCCCGAGUGCCUUCUGAGACGGUAGUCCCGUGGAGAUGUAGCCAGUGUGGUUAAUUUGUCACUGAAGAACGGAAGAAAAAGCCCAUUCUUCCCAGGAAAUGGCCCACUGUAUUUAAACCAAUUAUGGAA